UACGUAGGGUGCGAGCGUUAAUCGGAAUUACUGGGCGAAAAGCGUGCGCAGGCGGUUAUGUAAGACAGGUGUGAAAUCCCCGGGCUUAACCUGGGAACUGCAUUUGUGACUGCAUAGCUAGAGUACGGUAGAGGGGGAUGGAAUUCCGCGUGUAGCAGUGAAAUGCGUAGAUAUGCGGAGGAACACCGAUGGCGAAGGCAAUCCCCUGGACCUGUACUGACGCUCAUGCACGAAAGCGUGGGGAGCAAACAGG
rnacentral:rRNA from 1 species